AACGAACGCUGGCGGCAGGCUUAACACAUGCAAGUCGAACGCCCCGCAAGGGGAGUGGCAGACGGGUGAGUAACGCGUGGGAACAUACCCUUUUCUACGGAAUAGCUCUGGGAAACUGGAAUUAAUACCGUAUACGCCCUACGGGGGAAAGAUUUAUCGGGGAAGGAUUGGCCCGCGUUGGAUUAGCUAGUUGGUGGGGUAAAGGCCUACCAAGGCGACGAUCCAUAGCUGGUCUGAGAGGAUGAUCAGCCACAUUGGGACUGAGACACGGCCCAAACUCCUACGGGAGGCAGCAGUGGGGAAUAUUGGACAAUGGGCGCAAGCCUGAUCCAGCCAUGCCGCGUGAGUGAUGAAGGCCUUAUGGUUGUAAAGCUCUUUCACCGAUGAAGAUAAUGACGGUAGUCGGAGAAGAAGCCCCGGCUAACUUCGUG
rnacentral:rRNA from 1 species